CACGUGCUUUUACUGUGGAGGUCUCGUGGCACUUCCGGUGUGGUUUGUUGUUCUUCCGGUCCCGGUGCUGUGUCCGCUGCUCUUGUCCGCUGCUCCGUGUCCGCUGCUCAGUGUGCGGCUGGAGGCUGAUCAUGAGCGGACUGCAGUUGCUCGGAGCCUACCUGACGGAGGUGGUGAAGGAGAUCCUGCGGGUGGUGGAGGAAGCGGUCACCGAGUACCGAGAGGAGGCGGCCCGCACCCGGAGAGAGAACCAGAGCCUCCGGAGCCAGCUGCGGGACGUGCUGCUGCUGGAGGCCCGCGCCGAGUGGCCCAGAGCCGGGCCGUUUCUGGAGCAUCUGUCUCUUUCGGACCACCCCACUGUGACUCCUCCCAUCUAUGGCUACGUCCCCACCUCUCAGGUGACGCUGGCGCCUCUCGAGCAGCAGCAGCGAGUCUCAUGUUCACGCUCUGAAGACACAAAGUCGUUCGUCUCCACACAAGUCCAGAAGGCCCACAGCAGAUGGACUACAGACGGACCGGGGACCAGACGUUUCUCCACACCUCCUGCGGCAGUGAAGGAGGAACUGGAGGAGAGGGGCCUGAGCGACGAGGAGGGGGAGG
ensembl:lncRNA